rnacentral:rRNA from 1 species
AAUCUUAGACAAUGGGUGCAACCCUGAUCUAGCCAUGCCGCGUGAGUGAUGAAGGCCNNNGGGUUNUCAAUCUCUUUCAGCUGNGACNAUUAUGAUGGUAGCAGCAGAAGAAGUCCCUGCUAACUCCGUGCCAGCAGCCGUGGUAAUACGGAGGGGACUAGCGUUGUUCGGAAUUAUUGGGCGUAAAGCGCAUGUAGGCUGAUCGGAAAGUUGAGGGUGAAAUCCCGGGGCUCAACCCCGGAACUGACUUCAAAACUAUCGGUCUGGAGUUCGAGAGAGGUGAGUAGAAUUCCGAGUGUAGAGGUGAAAUUCGUAGAUAUUCGGAGGAACACCAGUGGCGAAGGCGGCUCACUGGCUCGAUACUGACGCUGAGGUGCGAAAGCGUGGGGAGCAAACA